UCCCAUGAAGAAAGUCACAUAUGUCCUUUCCCAGUUCAAGAAGCUGUACUGGUAUACCUUCUGGGACCAACUGGGGGGACGGAAGGAAAUUUGUUCUAGAAAGUGCUACCUGAAGGAU